CUUUGUCGGUGUGAUAAAUUUUUCAUCAUUUUCAUGUCCUGAACUCGGGUCAUAUAAGUUAAUCUAUAGAAACAUUUCACAUAUAACCCGCUCCAAUCAAUUGUACGCUAAAUGUCAGUGUUUUGGCAUAAUUUGAGCAGAAAAUUCGCGAAACUGUAGUCUAUAAUGUUGUUUUUCAACACACAUGUUUACAUUCAUGGAGGCUGCCAUUUUUUUCUACCAGACUAUAUAUAUAACCGCUGAUUUGAUUGGAUAACUCUAUUUCCGGGAUUUCCGAUCGGCCAAUCAGAUAGUCGUUAUCAUUAAUACACGGAAUGUGUUCAAAUUUGAAACUAAAAAUAUUGUACGAGUAUGUAUCCUGUCCAGCAUUGUCCAGCUGUGGUUACAUUAAUCAUGUUAAUAAUAAUUAAUACUCAACAACCGUCGAUAAAUAAAGAAAUAGACGUUAAAGGCAGAACAUUUAGGUAUGACAUUAGCUGUUGAACCAAGAAUUUACGAUGUGCUGAUGUAGGGCAGACGUACAGCAGAUACAGGUAAUUUUUAAGAGAUUUUACAUUUGAUUUUUACAUCAUGAAUAUUUUUAAUUAAAAUUAAAAAAAAAAGAUAUACACCCCCUUUAGUUUCAUUCAUGGGCUCUGUUAGUUCACACUUUGAGGAUGACCAUUUGGUGUUCUGAAAAGGGGGAGGUGGGAAUGUAAUAAUAAUUUUAUUAUUCAAUAUUGAAUUACAUUGUGUGCCUUCACAAUCAAGGAAAGAUGUUUACAGUUAACUACACAAUGUCAAGCACAUUCAACUUAAUUUUGUCAUGUUCUGAUUUGGAUGGACAUGCAACACAAAAAAUCCCUAAAGGUUAAUAUUGUGUUUUAGAGUAUUUAUACUUAACUGAAAGAAGCUUCUUAAUUAUAUAUGUACAUUGUAUGAUAAAUAUCAGUAAUAUAUGAUGCAUACAGGUCAUGACCAGAAUUAAAAAUUAUUAAUAAAAUGUUUUUACAUUUUUUUUUAGGUUGUCCAUAUAUUAAAAGGGAUUGAUCACGGUGAAGGUACAAAGCUGCAAAAAUGAUGACUGUGCAUCGAUCAAUAUCCACUCAAUAAUAUGAAAACACGAUGAAAACAAACGAACCAGCAGCAGAAAAGAAAUUUGAGUAUAAGAUUAUUGAAAGAUUAAUCAAUGAAGACUUAAUGGAACAGGAUUGGAAUGCAGAAACUUUGGACUUAAUUCAUGAAUAAUAUCAAUGGAUGAUGAAGAAAACUGACCAAACUGACAAAGUAUUUCGUAUGCAUGUUAACUGGACAUUUUUGUUUGUUUAAUGCACAAUAAACAAAUUUGUAAAAUUGAAAAUUAAAACCAUUUGUGAAAGAUUUCAAGAGGACCAAAAGUUACCAUGGACUUAUGAAUGAUUUAACCAGAAAAAUGAUUUACAUGUACAAUUAAGUAAAUACAUCUUUGACUAAAAAAUGAUAAUUUAUCAACGUUAAUAUUUUAAAGAGGUUGAUCUUUUCGUUUAAAAGGUCUUAAAUGUGGAUGAUGUAUAAACUGUUGUAAUUUCUUUAAUUGUUGACUUGCAUUAAAAUGGUUAUUGUCUUA